GACGAACGCUGGCGGCGUGCCUAAUACAUGCAAGUAGAACGCUGAAGGAGGAGCUUGCUCUUCUGGAUGAGUUGCGAACGGGUGAGUAACGCGUAGGUAACCUGCCUGGUAGCGGGGGAUAACUAUUGGAAACGAUAGCUAAUACCGCAUAACAGUAGAUGUUGCAUGACAUUUACUUAAAAGGUGCAAUUGCAUCACUACCAGAUGGACCUGCGUUGUAUUAGCUAGUUGGUGGGGUAACGGCUCACCAAGGCGACGAUACAUAGCCGACCUGAGAGGGUGAUCGGCCACACUGGGACUGAGACACGGCCCAGACUCCUACGGGAGGCAGCAGUAGGGAAUCUUCGGCAAUGGACGGAAGUCUGACCGACCAACGCCGCGUGAGUGAAGAAGGUUUUCGGAUCGUAAAGCUCUGUUGUAAGAGAAGAACGAGUGUGAGAGUGGAAAGUUCACACUGUGACGGUAUCUUACCAGAAAGGGACGGCUAACUACGUG
rnacentral:rRNA from 1 species